rnacentral:rRNA from 1 species
UACAGAGGUCCCCGAGCGUUGUUCGGAUUCACUGGGCGUAAAGGGUGCGUAGGUGGUGGUGCAAGUUUGAUGUGAAAGCCUCGAGCCUAACUCGAGAAUGGCAUUGAAUACUGCAUUGCUAGAGGGUUGGAGGGGGGACUGGAAUUCUUGGUGUAGCAGUGAAAUGCGUAGAUAUCAAGAGGAACACCAGUGGCGAAGGCGAGUCCCUGGACAACACCUGACACUGAGGCACGAAAGCUAGGGGAGCAAAUAGGAUUAGAAACCCGAGUAGU